rnacentral:rRNA from 1 species
GCCAAGUCAUAAACAUUAACUUACAACAUAAACGCCAGGGUAUUACGAGCCCAGCUUAAAACCCAAAGGACUUGACGGUGUCCUACCACACUAGAGGAGCCUGUUCUAUAAUCGAUGAUCCACGUUAUACCUAACCAUUUUUUGCUUUUUCAGCCCGUAUACCUCCGUCGCAAGCUUACCAUAUAAAUGAACUAUAGUGAGCCUAAUAAAUUAAAUCUCUAUAACGUCAGGUCAAGGUGCAGCUUAUAAAAUGGGAAAUAAUGAGCUACAAUUUCUAACUUAGAACAAACGAACUACUACAUGAAACAUAGUCAUGAAGGUGGAUUUAGCAGUAAAUGGGGAAUAGAGAGCCCUAUUAAAUCUAGCCCUGGGACGCGU